rnacentral:misc_RNA from 1 species
UAGUUCAAUCGCAAUGGCUUGAACCGGGUAAAAGUCGUAACAAGGUAUCUGUAGGUGAACCUGCAGAUGGAUCAUCGUCGAAGCCUUAUGGUUCCUUUGAUCCUGAGAAACCAACGCGCUAGUUUUCACGACUUUGUCGGGAAUGUUGGGAGUAUCACCCCCCUUUUUAGCCCUACGUGAGGUGUCUAUGUGAAGCAAGAGCCGUUUCUGGGUGGCGGCCGUGAUUGCUGUACGAAGUUCGCGUUUCGCUGAGCUUUAGACUUAAUGAGCAUUGCUGGAAUGCUGCCUCACUGUUUGUUUUGGUGGUUGAGCAUAAGGCGGUAACGUCUGGUGCGACACCUGUUUGUCAGGAAACCUUAAUGAUCUGCUCACGCAGACGCCAAUACAACACUAACUUUUUACGUUUCACGUUUGCAGAAUCGUGACUUUAUGCCACAACUUGACUAGCUUCAGCGAUGGAUCGGUCGAUUCGCGUAUCGAUGAAAAACGCAGCUAGCUGCGUUAUUUACCACGAAUUGCAGACGCUUAGAGUGGUGAAAUUUUGAACGCAUAGCGCCGUUGGGUUUUCCCUUCGGCACGUCUGGUUCAGGGUUGUUUAUAUCUACUACAGUGUGGCUUGUGACACUGUUUGUCGAACGGCACUUGCUUUUAGCAACUCCCGUUCUAGAUCAGAAUAUAUUGCAACAUAUAUGCGUUAGCUAGCUAGUUUGCCAACGCUACACUGAAUGACAGCGAACUCGUUGUUACUGCUGAAAUUGUUUGCCGACUUUAGAACGAUUUGGCGGUGACUAGUAUGACAACGAUGUUUGUGUUAUUUGCAAUGCAACCUGAGCUCAGGCGUGACUACCCGCUGAACUUAAGCAUAUCAUUUAGCGGAGGAAAAGAAACUAAA